GUACUUACCUGGUGAAAAGGAUACCAUGAUCACAAAGGUGGUUUUCCUGGGCAAGGCAUAUCCAUUGCAGUUUGUAUGUGCUGACCCCUGAGAUCUCCCCAAAUGUAGAAAACUCAACUGCCCAUAAUUUGUGGUAGUGCUAGACUGUUUUCACCCUCUCC